ensembl:lncRNA
GAUUUAAAAAAGAAAGUUGUUAAGAGGGAACCUGAGACACACUGCUCAUUCUUGCUGAGCUUCCUGUGGAACAUCUCCUCCCAACGAACUGAGGCACUCACCUCCCCACCCCUUCUCUUAACUUCUGUCUGACGUAAAAUCUGUUGCACUCUUCCACAUCCAUCCAGCCCAGAGCUUCGUAUUUGUAUUCAUAUCAUGCACAAGUGAAUGACAUAAAGGGCCCAAACAAUUACCAAGAAUUGCAUCAAGGCCAGGUUACUGCAGCUGAGGAAUCAUGAAGGAUCACCAUAGAGCUGUCAUAUCCUGAGAGCUGUAUAGGACCGUCAUAAACAUUCCCACACAGUAGCUGCUGUGCAGGUCAUGGUUGAAAGUCCCCUCCCAGACUGAAAGAGCUGGUGAAGCAGGGGAAGAAAAGUUACGGGCCCUCAUUCCAUUCUGGAACCACUUUAUCUGAAAAAAAUGAAAGAAAGAAAAGAAAAGGAAGUUAUAGGCUUCAUGUUUCAUUUCCACAUUCUAGAUGUGGUCAGCAGCUGCAUCGUAGAAGGACAGGAUAUGGAAGCCACACACUGGCUGCGCCAUUCUGCAUCUGAGCAAGAUUCUCCUAGCAAAAUAAAGAUUCAUUCUUGAAACAGCCAGGGACUGUGCUGUACUGUCUGUUCCCAGGAGGACUGAAGGGGAAAUUAGUCAUCUGCCAAGGAGCCAUAGGAAGGAAGAUGAUAAACUCAAGGAAAAAGAGUCACAUGUCUUUUUUUGUCCUUACUUCUAAACCCGAGUGUACUCUUGACAAAAGUAAUGCAGCAGCCAGGAGUUUUGAAUACAGGAGGGACAUAAAGUGCCUGUUAAAUGCGACCAUUGAUCUUACUUCCCUCCUUUCUAAUGGAGUAUUACAUCUUUAUUUUUAAGUUUGCACAUCAGAUGAGGUAAACUGGAGAGUGGUAUCUGUAUAGUGCUGCAGAGAAACGUGAAAAAAU